rnacentral:sRNA from 2 species
AAUACUUGUUUCUAGGGUUCCGAUUUGAGCGCAAUUUCGUCUUAAAUGACUGGUCCAAGAGAAACAGCUAGCUUUUUACAUAUCUAUUACCCACAGACAUGUAGCUAGUGACACGGAGGGACAAAAGCCCGGGAGAA